ensembl:antisense Gm15423 predicted gene 15423
CUCACAAGACGAACAGAACCCUCUCAGGUUUAACUGCUAUUAGUAGCUUCAGAUACUAUUAUUGUCCAGAAAAGAAAAAAAAAAAGCAGUGACUCUCUUCAAAUUUAUGAAUUCAAAUUUAAAAGGGGAAGCUUUUUGUUUUUAGGGAGAGCUGUGUAUGAUGGGCGUUUGGUCACCUGCGUCCCUGCUGUGGAACGGUACUGUGUUGGGACUGUGUUGAUGGAUUUCAUUGUUCCUUAAUAGGAUUAUCAUCCUUUCUCGGCUGAAACAUUGCUGACCAAUUCAACCACUAAGGAUUCUGAAUAGAUGUCUUCUUUCAGGGAGAGAAAGAACCCAAGUGCCAGCAGUGCUCACAGGAGAACUUAAGGAGCCCUGGGCUGCAACGCUGCUGCCAUUAGCAAAGGACAAUAUCAGGAAGGAAAGGAUGGCUUUCCCUCUAAAGACAAAGACUAAAGUUAGAAAAGAGGGAGUACUCUCUGUAGCCUUAAUUUGUCAACGCUAUAACCUUGCCAACAAGGGCUACCUAGAGUAAUGGAUCAUGCCCUCAACUAGCCUCAAGUUUUCUAGACUGAACAUUGUGACGGCUGAUUACCAUCAUCAUCAUCUUUUUAUAUGAAUUCGUUUUAAAGCAUUGAAGUCUCUGAACAAGCAGAAGCAUAGAAGCACAGCCCCUCUCUCUAAUUUACAGAACUUUGUGUUAACAUGAUUUUACAUAUCCAUGCAUCCUCAUCAAGACUCAGAUAUGAUUUCUAGAAAAUGAAGGGCAGUUGACAGAACAAGGAUGUGUCUAAAUCAAGGAGAGCCAGCCUGCUGAAGCAAACUGAGUCAGCUUCCAGAAGGCAGGCAAGGGCAACCUGCUUACCCACUAGGGACAUGGUACUUUGUUUUUAGAUGUCAUGUCCAAGUAGAAGUGCAGUCAUAUAAAAUUCCCCUUCUACCUCUGGGUCCAUUCUUUGGGUAAAUCUUUUAGUCAGAAACAGGCUCCGGUAAAGACAACAAUGUUUUCAAGGCUGACUUUUUAAGAGUACCUUUUCUGCAGAAGGAAUCCCCCCUCGACCUCAAAACCCAAGCAACCCAUUUUUCUUUCCUGGUAAACUCCAGGACAUGAGAAAGAGACUCAGUUCUCUCCGAGGUGAUGGAAGCAUGCUGGAGGCCACACGGAGCCACUGUGGAACAGACUUCACUUAGCUAGCCGUCUGCCUUACAGGCUGCUUCCCGAAUGUUGCUUUAACCUAUUAGUACUUGCUCCGGCCUGAAACUGACUGCAUUCCACCCCCAACCCCAAUUGCGGGCUUAUAUGGUGUAACUGUGAGCAGUGUGUUCCCCAUGAGGCUGACUUCAGUCUGUGUCAGGUCACAGAGGAGAAUGAAGCAUUUCCCAGUCUCUUAAACCAUCUUAAGAGUCUUAAUAAACUUCAUGUCUUGGAUUUA